UACGUAGGGUGCAAGCGUUAAUCGGAAUUACUGGGCGUAAAGCGUGCGCAGGCGGUUUUGUAAGUCUGUCGUGAAAUCCCCGGGCUCAACCUGGGAAUUGCGAUGGAGACUGCAAGGCUAGAAUCUGGCAGAGGGGGGUAGAAUUCCACGUGUAGCAGUGAAAUGCGUAGAGAUGUGGAGGAACGACCGAUGGCGCAAGGCAGCCCCCUGGGUCAAGAUUGACGCUCAUGCACGAAAGGCGUGGGGAGCAAACAGG
rnacentral:rRNA from 1 species